ensembl:lncRNA novel transcript
AUGGCGCCUGCCCCAGUCACCCUGCUGGCCCCUGGGGCAGCAUCCUCAAUGUCUUGCAGCCAGCCCGGGCAGCGCUCGCCAUCGAAUGACUUCCAGGUGCUCCGGGGCACAGAGCUACAGCACCUGCUACAUGCGGUGGUGCCCGGGCCUUGGCAGGAGGAUGUGGCAGAUGCUGAAGAGUGUGCUGGUCGCUGUGGGCCCUUAAUGGACUGCUGGGCGUUCCACUACAAUGUGAGCAGCCAUGGUUGCCAACUGCUGCCAUGGACUCAACACUCGCCCCACUCAAGGCUGUGGCAUUCUGGGCGCUGUGACCUCUUCCAGGAGAAAGGCGAGUGGGGGUACAUGCCCACGCUCCGGAAUGGCCUGGAAGAGAACUUCUGCCGUAACCCUGAUGGCGACCCCGGAGGUCCUUGGUGCCACACAACAGACCCUGCCGUGCGCUUCCAGAGCUGCAGCAUCAAAUCCUGCCGGGUGGCCGCGUGUGUCUGGUGCAAUGGCGAGGAAUACCGCGGCGCGGUAGACCGCACCGAGUCAGGGCGCGAGUGCCAGCGCUGGGAUCUUCAGCACCCGCACCAGCACCCCUUCGAGCCGGGCAAGUUCCUCGACCAAGGUCUGGACGACAACUAUUGCCGGAAUCCUGACGGCUCCGAGCGGCCAUGGUGCUACACUACGGAUCCGCAGAUCGAGCGAGAGUUCUGUGACCUCCCCCGCUGCGGGUCCGAGGCACAGCCCCGCCAAGAGGCCACAAGUGUCAGCUGCUUCCGCGGGAAGGGUGAGGGCUACCGGGGCACAGCCAAUACCACCACCGCGGCGUACCUUGCCAGCGUUGGGACGCGCAAAUCCCACAUCAGCACCGAUUUACGCCAGAAAAAUACGCGUGCAAGUGAGGUGGGCGGGGGGGCGGGCGUUGGGACGUGCUGCUGCGGAGACCUUCGGGAGAACUUCUGCUGGAACCUCGACGGCUCAGAGGCGCCCUGGUGCUUCACCCUGCGGCCCGGCACGCGCGUGGGCUUUUGCUACCAGAUCCGGCGUUGUACAGACGACGUGCGGCCCCAGGACUGCUACCACGGCGCGGGGGAGCAGUACCGCGGCACGGUCAGCAAGACCCGCAAGGGUGUCCAGUGCCAGCGCUGGUCCGCUGAGACGCCGCACAAGCUGCAGGCCCUAACCCUGGGGCGGCAUGCUUUGAUGUCUGGGACCAGAGCCUGGAAAUGGUUGAGACUACCCUGCCACGAUUUUGCUCCCGCUCCCGCCUCGGUUCACAUUUACCUCCGAACCGCAUGCACAACUGGAGGAGAACUUCUGCCAGACCCAGAUGGGGAUAGCCAUGGGCCCUGGUGCUACACGAUGGACCCAAGGACCCCAUUCGACUACUGUGCCCUGCGACGCUGCGACCAGGUGCAGUUUGAGAAGUGUGGCAAGAGGGUGGAUCGGCUGGAUCAGCGUCGUUCCAAGCUGCGCGUGGCUGGGGGCCAUCCGGGCAACUCACCCUGGACAGUCAGCUUGCGGAAUCGCCAUAUGCCUCUCACGGGCUAUGAGGUAUGGUUGGGCACCCUGUUCCAGAACCCACAACAUGGAGAGCCAGGCCUACAGCGGGUCCCAGUAGCCAAGAUGCUGUGUGGGCCCUCAGGCUCCCAGCUUGUCCUGCUCAAGCUGGAGAGAUCUGUGACCCUGAACCAGCGUGUGGCCCUGAUCUGCCUGCCGCCUGAAUGGUAUGUGGUGCCUCCAGGGACCAAGUGUGAGAUUGCAGGCUGGGGUGAGACCAAAGGUACGGGUAAUGACACAGUCCUAAAUGUGGCCUUGCUGAACGUCAUCUCCAACCAGGAGUGUAACAUCAAGCACCGAGGACAUGUGCGGGAGAGCGAGAUGUGCACUGAGGGACUGUUGGCCCCUGUGGGGGCCUGUGAGGGUGACUACGGGGGCCCACUUGCCUGCUUUACCCACAACUGCUGGGUCCUGAAAGGAAUUAGAAUCCCCAACCGAGUAUGCACAAGGUCGCGCUGGCCAGCCGUCUUCACGCGUGUCUCUGUGUUUGUGGACUGGAUUCACAAGGUCAUGAGACUGGGUUAGGCCCAGCCUUGACGCCAUAUGCUUUGGGGAGGACAAAACUUGUAAGUACAGUCAAGGACAAGACUUGUACUCAAGGUUGAGAUUUAAUAAAAUUAAUAUUUUUACUACUUCACCAAGGACUUUCUUAAACGAAAAUGGUUUUUCCCCCUGCAAGUAAACAGUAAUGAAGAAGAGAAUUAUUCCUAGUGCAGUUUGUUUUCAUGGUCUUAAUUUUUGCUAAGACUCCACUGUUUUUGCCUUAUCAAUACAAGUGCCAACACAGUGAAAAGGCAAAUAUCAUCUUAGUAUUACUCUGAAAAUAGUUCUGAGCUAAUGGCCUACUGAAAGGAAAAGAGUGGCUCCUGCUAUUCUAUUAGACUUAUUACAAUUAUCUUAAGUAUUCUUUCUACCCUCCUUUAAUUGAAUGGAAACAGGGAUGGAUUGGAAGAGCUGUUUUUCUCCUUUCUUUCCCCCGGCAAUAUUUACCAUUUAAUGCCACUUACUAACACUCAAAGAAACAAAACCAAACUUCUCAAUUGACAGUGCAGUGACCCAACAAAGACACGGGUUCUUGAAUUCAAAGUGGAGCAGGAGAGACGGUAAAUACACAUUUACUUUAAUAUAUAUAUAUUUAUUAUUUAUGUGUUUAAAGCACAAAUUAGUUUGGUAAAAAACAUCUCAUGUCUGUUUUAUUUCCACAUCCCUGAGACUGACAAUGGGAUGCCUAUCAAUUAAUUCAUUUAGAGAGCCAUACACCACAAGAAACAAAUUAUUUGUCCUCUGGAGCUUGUCACAGGGGGAUUUUUAAAAAACCAUUAAACAGAAAGACAACUGUGCAUCUUAGAAAGAUAAAAGGCCAAUUCUUCCUCUCCGGCUGAUAGGUUCUUAAUAAUAGUGAUAUCUACUAAUAAGGUGUUUUACAUAGUGUAAAGCAUGUUCACAUACAAAUUACUUAGCCUCUUUGAGCCUCAGUUUUCUUAUAUGUAAAACUGGAUUAAUAGUACAUUUUGUGUUUAAAAAGAUAAUGUAUAUGAAGUGUUUACCAUUUUUGCUUGGCAUCUAGUUCAGUUCUCAGUAACUGAUGUGGUGGUGGUGGUGGUCAUAGUAGCAGUAAGAUCCGUAGUAAUAGUAGCAGCAGUUGUUUUAGAAAUUAGUAACUGAGGCCUGGCAAAGUUAAAGGCUCUUUCAUUAACACCCAGAGGGGAAGAAAUGAAGCUGGUCUUCAGAGGCAGGCUAUUUUCACUCUGUGUCCCAAAUUUUCCCCCCUAGACCGUUUUUAUACUUCUGGGGCCUCAGAAAAUAUUCUCAGCUAUUCUGUUAGCUUGAUCUCCUACCAUCUGAGAGUGGGCUUCCUUCAAACAACCAAAUUUCCAGGUAUUUCUAAACUGCCCUUCCCCUACACCAUUCUUUGGUUCAGUAUUUCAAGACCCCUAAGAGAAAUGGUACAUUUACAUGUAAGCACAGGAUAGUGAAGUAUUUACAACAAGUGCUUUGGAGCCAGCAAAUAUGAAUCAGAAUCCAGCUUUCCUUUCCUACAUACAUGACAUUGGGCAGCUAAUUUCUAAGAUUUUACUUCUUUAUCUAUGAAAGUGGAGUACUAGUACUUGCUCUGUGCAACUGUGAUGGUUGUUACAUGAGGUAGCAUCUAGAAGCAGCUUGCACAUUGCCAGACACCCAGUGGAAGGUCAAUGAAUGACUAUUUGAGGACUAACUAUUACAGAAAUGUUUACUCUUCUGAGUCCUGAUUUCUAGUCUCCUGGACUAAAUAGGUUCACUGUUUUCCUCCCGGUUCAGUUUCCAGACACAUCACAGAAUUAUAAGAAUAUUAAAAACUCAGGCUUAUACCUACACAGGAUUUUCUAUAACCCUCUUUCUGCUUUGAGCUCCUAAAGGUAUUUCAUAGAAAAAUGACCUUAUUUUUAAAUAGAGGGGGCAGUUGAAAAUCA